CAGGUGAUGGGGCCAUCUGGAAAAGGGGCAGGAAUAUCAAACAAAUAACUGAGCGAAUGCAGGUAGCACUGAACAAGGUAGUGCAUGGGGUGCAGGCAGAGAUACUCAACUAAUGAUCUACAGGGCAAUGGUAAGGUCUAGACCGGAUUAUGGUUGUGUAUGUUAUGGGACAGCACCUGAAACACAUUUAAAAAGGCUGGAAGUAAUACAGGCUAAGGCACUGAGACUAUGUUGCGGGGCCCUUCAUACAACUCCAGUCCCGGCUUUACUGGUAGAGAUGGGGGAAAUGGCAAUGCAGUAUAUUGUUAAGUUAUGGGCACAUAAAGGAGAACACCCUACAAAAACAGUACUACUUAAUGCAUGGGAGUGGGAGUCAGGGAAAAGGAGGAAGGAAUGUUUUACACUUAAUAUCAGUAAAAAGGUGGAGAAGCUGGGACUGAAGGAAGUAGGGGUGGCCCCGCAAGUUCACUGGUCAAUUGUACCACUGUGGAUGCUGCCCAUACCAGAAAUAGACUUCAGUGUAAUGGACAACUGUAAUGGACUUUUUAUAUCCCACAAUAUGAAAUUGUAAAGCUCAAGCGACUGUCUGAGGGGGUAUCUGUAUAUACAACAGAACUUCUAGCUAUUAUAUGGGCACUACAGUGGGUGGAGGAAGUUCAACCAAGGAGAGCAGUAUUAUGCUCAGAUUCGGCUUCAGUGUUAAAAACUCUGAGAGGAAGGGGGAUCUGGCAAAGAUGGGCAAACAUGAGGAUGGACUCUGUAGAACCUGCAAUCAACAACAGACUGUUAAACAUGUGUUUAUAGAAUGUCAACAGUACAAAAGGCAAAGAGAACAACUAUAGUCUGCACUAUCAGGAGCUGGAACGCUGACAGUGACAUUGAGAGACAUUUUGAAUCCUCAUGAGAACCAAUCGAGGAUAGUGGAAGCAGUCAUGGACUUUAUAUCUGCAACAGGAUUACCUCUCUGAGAAUGGUGAUGCCAUAAAACGAUACUGAGACUGAACGGUGAGAGGCAGCAAUAUGCCGUAAGGCAUCUAGUCUGACGGAAAGCCAAAAGAAGAAGAAGGUUACUAUGGGAGGUUCAUGAAAUUCAAGGUACAAUAUGGCUCAGGGUGCCAGUAAUAUAAGUAAAUAUUGUUCUAAAGAGUAUCAUGUUGAUUAAGGGAUUUAUAACCUGUUGCCGAUCAGAUCUCCCAAUAUCCUAUCUUGAGUCUUUUAAAGUAUAGCCUAAUAGUCAAUGAAUAGUCAUUUUCAAGAGCCGAACACUCACACAAGCUUAAACGUGUUUAUUUGCAUAUUUAUAUAAAUGUACAGACCAGUAUCCUACAUAAAUACGUAAAAGGUAAUUUCAUCCAUUGUUCCUGUUAAUGUGAUUGUCAAUAGCGCUCAUCUAAGGCACGCAAUUCCACAUGAAAUUGAAAAAAAAAAGAUUAUUCACAUUGCUUGACCAUGGCUGGAAUAAUAAGAUACUGAGCCCAUAUUAAUGAAGCUUAAGGAUCUUACUGAGUCAGUUGAUGUUAUGCUUUGGUGAUGAAUAUUCUCAAAUAAAUUGUAAUUCAAAUAAGCACAAACCAGGUGGCACACAAUGAUGCCGGUUGAUAAUCUAGCCCUGUACCAUUUCACUAUAAGCAUCAUGUAAAAAGAGUACUUUUUGCUGAAAACGUUCUCAUAAAGCCUUACUGCAGUACUGAACAUGUAUUAAAAUAACAGACACAUCUCUGUCUAAGUUCAGGAAAACAAAUUGUUAAAUGAUGUAAUAGAGCCUAGUUCUUUUGACUAACUGAUUAAUAGUUACUUGAAUCAGCCCCAGACAUAAACAGAAAAUCCCUUUGUGACUAUUGUACAUCACAAUGUGUAAAUAUAGCAACAGAUGUGACCAAUUAGCAACAUAUCGCUUCAUGACAAUUAUGUUUGCUCAGCAGUGGGAAUAGUGAGCACCAUGAAGAAUCACUGUAACGUGUGGUAAGGCUCCGUAGAACUAUGAGGUCAACCUUUGUCUUCACAGUAAAAACAGGACUGUCUCGAUGCCUCCAGCCAACAGUGUAUUAUGUGUCUUGACAUCAGCUGUCUCCACCAGCUGAUUCAACAGGAGGUCCAGCAGACAUCGAAUUGAUUUUCAGAGGGAUGCUUUCCUCAACACAACCAGUGUCACCUGAAAAAAACCCAGCACUUUGUUACCUACUGUGCAAUUGAGAUUUAUGAAAUUAAUAUGAUGUAGCAUCUUUCUGCAUAGUGCAAAAUGUUGAAACAAAGCGUAUGUCAUGGCUAAAUAAACAAUUUCACAUUA